rnacentral:misc_RNA from 1 species
UAUGAAGAACGUAGCGAAAUGCGAUACGUAAUGUGAAUUGCAGAAUUCAGUGAAUCAUCGAAUCUUUGAACGCAUAUUGCGCUCUCUGGUAUUCCGGAGAGCAUGCUUGUUUGAGUAUCAGUAAACACCUCAACUCCCUUUUCUUUUUUGAAAUUGGAGCUGGACUUGAGUGAUCCCAACGCUUUCUUCCAAGAAAGUGGCGGGUUGCUUGAAAUGCAGGUGCAGCUGAACUUUUCUCUGAGCUAUAAGCAUAUCUAUUUAGUCUGCCUAAAAAACAGAUUAUUACCUUUGCUGCAGCUAACAUAAAGGAGACUAGUUCUUGUGCUGACUGAUGCAGGAUUCACAGAGACAGCUUCGGCUGACUUUGUAAACUCGAUCUCAAAUCAAGUAAGACUACCCGCUGAACUUAAGCAUAUCAAUAAGCGGAGGA